rnacentral:rRNA from 1 species
UAGAGUUUGAUCCUGGCUCAGGACGAACGCUGGCGGCACGCCUAACACAUGCAAGUCGAACGGAGUGAAGAUGCUCGCAUCUGAACUUAGUGGCGGACGGGUGAGUAACACGUGAGCAACCUGCCUUUCAGAGGGGGAUAACGUUUGGAAACGAACGCUAAUACCGCAUAAAAUAUCGGAGUCGCAUGGCACUGAUAUCAAAGGAGUAAUCCGCUGAAAGAUGGGCUCGCGUCCGAUUAGGCAGUUGGCGGGGUAACGGCCCACCAAACCGACAAUCGGUAGCCGGACUGAGAGGUUGAACGGCCACAUUGGGACUGAGACACGGCCCAGACUCCUACGGGAGGCAGCAGUGGGGGAUAUUGCACAAUGGGGGAAACCCUGAUGCAGCGAUGCCGCGUGAAUGAAGACGGCCUUCGGGUUGUAAAGUUCUGUCGCAGGGGACGAAAAUGACGGUACCCUGCAAGAAAGCUCCGGCUAACUACGUGCCAGCAGCCGCGGUAAUACGUAGGGAGCAAGCGUUGUCCGGAAUUACUGGGUGUAAAGGGAGCGUAGGCGGGAGGAUAAGUUGAAUGUGAAAUCUAUGGGCUCAACCCAUAGCUGCGUUCAAAACUGUUCUUCUUGAGUGAAGUAGAGGCAGGCGGAAUUCCUAGUGUAGCGGUGAAAUGCGUAGAUAUUAGGAGGAACACCAGUGGCGAAGGCGGCCUGCUGGGCUUUUACUGACGCUGAGGCUCGAAAGCGUGGGUAGCAAACAGGAUUAGAUACCCUGGUAGUCCACGCGGUAAACGAUGAUUA